AGAGUUUGAUCCUGGCUUAGGACGAACGCUGGCGGCGUGCCUAACACAUGCAAGUCGAGCGAGGAGAUCCUUCGGGAUGAUCCUAGCGGCGGACGGGUGAGUAACACGUGGGCAACCUGCCUCAUAGAGAGGAAUAGCCUUCCGAAAGGGAGAUUAAUACCUCAUAACAUUGCAGUUUCGCAUGGAACAGCAAAUUAAAGGAGUAAUCCGCUAUGAGAGUGGGCCCGCGGCGCAUUAGCUAGUUGGUGAGGUAACGGCUCACCAAGGCGACGAUGCGUAGCCGACCUGAGGAGGGUGAUCGGCCACAUUGGGACUGAGACACGGCCCAGACUCCGUACGGGAGGCAGCAGGUGGGGAAUAUUGCACAAUGGGGGAAACCCUGAUGCAGCCAACGCCGCGUGAGUGAUGACGGCCUUCGGGUUGUAAAGCUCUGUCUUCAGGGACGAUAAUGACGGUACCUGAGGAGGAAGCCACGGCUAACUACGUGCCAGCAGCAGC
rnacentral:rRNA from 1 species